CACAAUCCACACAACAUUUGGUGGGGAAAUUUUCGGCCAUUCUAGGAAAGUCGUCAUCUUUAGAAGGGAUAUCUAUAACAUGGCUAACAUGCUGGAAGUAUCUGGAGGAGUCAUUGUUUUUUACAUGAGUUACCUUUAUGGAGUCCUGAAGAAGUCUAAUAUGCUUGAUAUGGUUGGCUUUAUCGACCCUACACACACCGGUAUAAUUGGGUGUGGAAAUCCCAUUGAACGGGCACGGUCUAUGUGAAAUCGGUACAUGUUAGGGAAACCGGGGCAGAUAUUUUUGGUUCCAUAUAACUUAGGUGCUCAUUGGAUGUUGUCGUUGGUGAACCCGGAUGAAGAAGUCGUGCAUUUCAUGGAUCCGCUAAAAAGGUGACUUUGUGCUG